rnacentral:lncRNA from 11 species
GGGGAAUUUUGUCUUGUUGAGAUAUAGUCCCCUUUAUACAGAGUGAUGCUCCCUAGUUGUGUGAUCCAAAGGGGGUUCCCGUGGCAACAGGAAACACAACCACUGUCCCCAUGGCAACAACUGCUCGCAUGGAGCCAGGCUGAAGCGAGGACUCAGGACAGGUAUCGGGUGGGAGGAGGCGAGGGGUGCGAGGAACCAAAGCUGGAUGGAGGACCACAACUUCUACCCGUUACGUGA